rnacentral:rRNA from 1 species
AGAGUUUGAUCCUGGCUCAGAUUGAACGCUGGCGGCAUGCCUUACACAUGCAAGUCGAACGGCAGCGCGGGGCAACCUGGCGGCGAGUGGCGAACGGGUGAGUAAUAUAUCGGAACGUACCCUGGAGUGGGGGAUAACGUAGCGAAAGUUACGCUAAUACCGCAUACGAUCUAAGGAUGAAAGUGGGGGAUCGCAAGACCUCAUGCUCCUGGAGCGGCCGAUAUCUGAUUAGCUAGUUGGCGGGGUAAAAGCCCACCAAGGCAACGAUCAGUAGCUGGUCUGAGAGGACGACCAGCCACACUGGAACUGAGACACGGUCCAGACUCCUACGGGAGGCAGCAGUGGGGAAUUUUGGACAAUGGGCGCAAGCCUGAUCCAGCAAUGCCGCGUGGGUGAAGAAGGCCUUCGGG